rnacentral:rRNA from 1 species
UACGUAGGGUGCGAGCGUUGUCCGGAAUUAUUGGGCGUAAAGAGCUCGUAGGCGGUUUGUCGCGUCUGCUGUGAAAACGCGAGGCUCAACCUCGCGCCUGCAGUGGGUACGGGCAGACUAGAGUGCGGUAGGGGAGACUGGAAUUCCUGGUGUAGCGGUGAAAUGCGCAGAUAUCAGGAGGAACACCGAUGGCGAAGGCAGGUCUCUGGGCAUUAACUGACGCUGAGGAGCGAAAGCAUGGGGAGCGAACAGG